rnacentral:lncRNA from 1 species
GGGAAUGUGAAAGUAAAGUAAAAAAACCUCCAAAAAUAUUUUUUCAAUGUAAAAUCCCUCCAGAAAUUUAGUUUUCACCCUAAAAUCUCUCCCAAAAAAUUAAUUUCACGCUACAAUCCCUAAUCAAGCGGCGACUUCAACUCUCUUCAAAUUUCAGUCCCUAAUCAAGCGCGACUUCAUCUCUUCAAAGUUCAGAAGGUUGCAAACUUCAUCAUUCAGAACUCGAAGGUUGCAAAAUUCAUCACUUCAAACUCAGAAGAUUGCAAAAUUCAUCACUUCAAAAUAAGAAGGUUGGUGUCUCUACCAUUGGAUUAUCUGCCUAAUCAAGAGAAAGAUUAAUUUCUUCCUCUUUUAUCUGUUUUAGUUCCUUUUUUCUUCUUUUUGUUUUUUUUUCAAUUAAACCAGAAAUCAAAAAUCGGGUUCUGUAAUUUUCUAUUUUUUUUGUUGUUUUCUGCAAUUGGGUUGUUUAGAAUAGUGAUAGUUGUUGUGUGAGUGAUAAAAGUGAGAAUAUCGGUUUAAAUAUGGGGCUUGUAGGUCAAGGAGGAGAAAUUUUAGUUUUUUCAUGUAGAGUUUCGUCUCUGCGAUGGUUUUCUUCUUUGCAAUUUGUGUUACAAUUCUUCUGGGGACUUGUUUGAAGGGUCAUGAGUUUGGCGCUAUAGUAGUAAUGUCACCACUGAUAGAAACAAUUGCUUCAGGCAUUACAGCAUGCGCCACUCGAUCGACAACAGCUCGAUCACUGUUACCUUCUUGAGCCACUAGUGUAACUCCUUGUUGCUUACUAGCAUUGUUUGCUCGAUUCAAAUCACCUGAAGUUACCUUAUCAUCAACUCCUUUUUGUCUAUCAUUAGUCACCGACAAAUCCCCUGUAAUCUCCUCGAUCCUAAUAGCAAUUUGUUGACCUUCAGCGAAGUGAAAAGUCAAUAGUUUCUAUUUCCUAAAACAAACUUGUGUUGAUUACAAGAGAAAAGACACCUUUUUCUUCAGAGGUUUUUUUCUAGAUGUCCAAACAAUAUCUUUUAAUCCCGAAAAGAUGUUCUUGUAGAACUACCAUUUUUAAGGUCCAAGAAUCUGCCAUUUCUUUCGGUACCAAACGGUUUUAGCAAAUAUCUGAAAAUCUUAUGCAGGAACAUGUGUACCUUUUAAUAAUGAAUAUAAUUUGGAGUAAGGAUAUGUGUAUUAGUAAUACGUGUAUAUAACUACUUAAUUUUGAAAGUGCAUUCUUUUUACAACAUUCAUAACAUUCUUUUGUUACUUUAAUUAGUUAAAACCUUUUUUUAUUUCCUAUUUAAGGUUAUGUCAACAAGUAAGCAAUGGAUGCAACUUGUUGAUAACCGAUUUGACGAUACCUAUUUAAUUGGAGUGCAAAAGUUUUUGGAUUAUGCCUUUAGAAGAACAGGAGAAUUGUCUGAAAUACGUUGUCCGUGCGUCAAAUGUUGUAGCACAAAAUUAGGAACACGUGAGACAGUCGAGAUACAUUUGAAAGUAUAUGGAAUAAUUCGAAAUUAUACCUUUUGGUAUCAUCAUGGUGAAGUUUUGGGUGAGACACAGUCGGAAGGCGAAGUUGAUGAUGAUAAUGAAGUAGAAGAUUAUGAGGAUGAGGAUGAAAUACAUGAAAUGCUGAGGGAUUUAUAUCCUAAUAAUGAUGAAGGAACUCCGGACGUUCGUGAUAAUGAUUUACUCGGAGAUGAACCGAACGUUGAAACCAAAAAGGUUUACAGCUCAUUGAAAGAUUUCAAACAACCACUAUACCAAAAUUCGAAAUGUUCAAAGCUUUCCACUUUGAUUAAACUGCUUCAUAUAAAAGGUAUGGGUCGUUAGAGCAAUGAGUCAUUUAUAAUGUUAUUAAAAAUGUUGAAGGAUGAGUUAUUGCCUGAUGGAGCAAAUGUGCCAAAUUCAUAUUAUGAGGGAAAGAAGGUGAUUAGGUGUGAGCACGUAAUUUUUUCCCUAUGUGAAUAACUCCCAUAAAUUCAAGAAAAAUAAAUUUUUCCCAUUAUUGGCAAUUUCGUAGAUUUUUGUGGCAUUUUGUUAAUUGUUUGCAUUUCUUUGUGCAUGUUUAAUUUUGCUUAAUUCAUGAAAAUACAAAAAUACAUUACAUUUGCAUUUAAGAUUUAAUUUUAUAUUUUUAGGUUAAUUAGCAAUUUAGUGGUCUUAUAAAAAAUGAUUAAAAUCACCAAAAAUGACUCAUUUUGUAUUUUUAACUUUUUAACUUUAAAUUUUGAAUUUUCAUUAAUUUAGGAUUUAUUUAAUUAUUGAAAAUAUUGUGUUGAGUGAUUAGUUUAAUUUGGUAAGUCAUUUUAGUUUAAGAGUUAAUUUAAGUGUUAAAUUAAUUUGGUUGAAAGAAAAGAAUUUUAAUAAUAAAAGAGUUGGAAAAUUGACUUGUCUUGCGAAAAUUGGGACAAGAUCAUUGUUACAGCCCAUACAAUACCCAUUAAACCCGUCCGAGCCACGCCUAUCCCCGGCCCAAAGCUUUCAGCCCCAGGAACCUACAAACGAUGUAGUGUGGGAAUAGAACUGCGUCUCUUUGAGUUCAAUAAGCUUUAACAAAUCCUGGCCUUUCAUCUCGUUUCAUCCAACGGCCUAAAAUACUUCUCCAUUUUUGCUUAAGACUGUCCAAAUUCCCCAGAGACAAGUCAGUUCCCAAAUACCCCUUCCACUUCAUCUCCCCAUCUCUAAACCUAGACCUGCCUCCAUGAAUGUCUUCUCCAUCUCCGGCCAGCGGCGGAGCUCAAACCACCACCAAAAUCCAACCACACAACCACCGUUCAUCCCUGAGUCCCAAUCCACAACCUCUUCUCCCCAGGUCCUCACCAAAUCGGGUCAGUUUCAGAUCUAAAACAAAGAAAAGGAGAUCUUUCAAGUCUUCAAGUUCUAUGAACGAUUAGGCCUGAAACUACUAUUGUUCGUUUGUUCUCAAAGAGAACAUGUGAUUGAUACCAAUUUUGGGUCAAAUCGGAAGUUGCCGGACAAGCUUUCAAUCCUGUUUGUCUCCAACCCUAGGUAUUCCUUGUCCAUGUUUUCCCAGCUUUUGUUUCUCCUCCAUAUUCAUUCUUUCUUUUUCUCUUUCUUUUCUCUUUAUUUCCAUCUUUAAUCAGUAAAUUUGUAUAAGCAGUCGCCAUGAGUUAAUCUUGGAUAAUUUUUGUUCGGUUUGUUUUCACUAGUUAGUAUUAAAAUUGAUUUAGUUCUUUUGGGGCCAUAAUUUGAAUGUUAAUUUAUUUGGGUCAGAUUUUUGAGUUUUAGAAUACUCAUGGGCUGGGUGGAGUCUUGGGCCUUUGGUUUAUUUUUGACCCGUCCCAACAACAACCCUAGUUUGUUUGGGUCGGCCUGACCCAUAGUUGGUUUAGGUUGGGAGGGUAAAUAACAAAAAUUUAAAGGGUAGUUUAGGGAAGUUGGCCAAUGGAAUCUUACUAUAACUGAUUGAGAAUCUUCUAGGAAAGUGGGCGAAUGGAUUGGUUUGCAAAGCAAAUUUUAAAUUGCGGUCUGAAGUGAAUAGAGGGAAUUUGGGGAAGGGGUAAAUGCUAAGUUUGGAAACUAACCACUGCUGCCCUAAAACCCCUCUAUAAAGGUCCCAUUUCCUAAAUUUUCAAAGGGAGUUCAGACCCUAGAAAUUAGAAACGGAUGAAAAAUACAAACAUUGAAAAAGUUUGUAGAAUCAGAAAAAAAUACAAAUACAAAUCACAAAAUACUGUUACAUUGAAGCUUUUUGUGUAAUUCUUUGGGUUUUAAAGUUUGAAGUAAUCUUUGAUUCAUUUUGGGCUAAGAAUGGCUUGAAAGGACCGAAUCUCUUGGUUGUUCAGUUUGUGUUGGUGUUGCUGAUAUUCUGCUGAUGUUAACUCUUUGUUUUUAUUUGCAAUUAGGUAUUCUUCAAACUAUGCACAACAAGUGAAUGUGAACAUGUGUUGCGAGUUGAAACCUGAUUGAAUACAAAGUUGAAUUUGACUUCUAUUCCUUAUGUUUCUUCUAUUAUUCUAGUAUUCUGUAGUCAAUCUAAUACUAGACAUGUAUUUUGGCUUUCUCAUGUCCUUCAUAUGUUGUAAAAUGAAUCAAUUUAAGAGUUUGGGUGUGAUUUUGGAUUCAAGUGAUUGAUAUUUGAACAUCAUGGGUUCUGAUACUUGUGGUAUUGAGAAAAUAGCCUAGUUUAGAUUAGAUUUCAUAGUGUAUUUGUGAGUUGUCUUGAAAUUGAAUUCCUGCUGUGUAUUGUUGAAUGUCUAUCGGGCUCGAUAUUGAGUGUUGUUCCUCAGCCUUAGCUUUGCAAGGUUUAGGCUCUUUGGGCCUGGACUUAAGGAUGUUUACAAAGUGGGGAGUUACCUUACCAUGUGUUGUUUAGGCCUGCUUCUCCAAUCCAAUAGCUCACAUGAUCGCUACUGCAGGGCUUGGCUCUGUUAUGGGUUUGGCCGGAGGCCUCAUGGCUUUCAGUUGUGCUAAUUGGACUUUAUACUUAAAACCAUGGUUGUUUAAUGUCAAUCUCGCCAUGUUUUGUUGAUGUGGUGUGUUAAAAUGUUUAAUUGAGGUCUUGAUUUUCUUAUCAUUGUUCUUAAGAUUAGUUUGGGAUUGAAGUUAAACUGAACGUUGUAUGGUUUUGUGUUUGUAUGUCAUUAAUACCCUUGAAUUCAAACAAUUUUUUUUAAAAAACAAUGUAAUCUAGUAUGGUGAUACUCAUAGCCCUUUUAGCCUGUUAUUGCAUACUAAUGAAUGUAGAUAAGCUUGGUGUUACACCCCAAGUUUUCAUACGUGAGAGUACGUCGUAAGUCAUUGAUGUAAGCUCGGAAAUGAGAUUAUAUUUGGAAGAAAAUAAAGUAAGUUAAUCAUGUUACCUUGGAGGUUACAAAUAUUUAAGAUCAUGAAUAACGAGUACCAAGAGGGUUGGAAAUCUUAGAAGCUAAACCAAUUGAAGAAAAUAAGUUUCGUCAAAAGUCGACAAGUUUAGAAUAUUAUAACAUAUACUUUGGGGUGAAACUAUGGUUAUUAACAUGAUAAGGAGGUUAUUCUAUAAUUUAUUUUAGUCGUAUGAUAAUCAUUUUCUACAUUUUGAAGGCAAGCAAGUUGUGGAACAAGAGUUGGCAAAGGUCAUCACAAGUUACAUUCAUAAAUUUGCUGAAAUUUAGGUCAAAUGUAUCUAAGAAUUUAACCAAAUAUACUUGGAAUCAUAGGGUGUUCUACCAACCAAAUUGAAGAUCUACGAGUCUAGUUUUUAAUUCAUUAAACCGUUCGUCAAUACGACAUCGGAGUAGAGAGAUAUUCGUGUUUUCGCGAGACCGCGCAUGCAGCUCCCAAUGGGACCCACUUAGGCGGUGGUUGACCUACUUCAAUUUAUAAAUGAUUUGGACGCCUAUUUUUGCUCGUUUUUCAACUAAUAUUCGUCUCCAACUUCUCCUAACCCUCCUAAACAUAUACCACAAGGGUUUUAAGUGAUUCCAAAGCGAUUACACCAUAUUUCAACAUCAAAACUUAGUUCUAGUGAAGAACAACACCUAAUUGUGCUUAAGCUUUCUUGUAUGUUGGUUAAGUUGUUAGGAUGAUAAACUACAAGAUAAUACCUGGAUUAGCUUANNNNNNNNNNNNNCUGGAAUCAUUGAUUAAUGACUUCAUUAUCAAGUUAAUGAUACUGUUAUGUUGAAGUAAGAAGUCUAUAAGGAUUGAUAAGGGGUAUACGGAUUCCAAUCGGACCUUCCCGCUCGUCGUAAUGUAGUUGUGACUUGUUGUUGUUAUAUGGUGUCUUGAUAUUGAUAAUUAUGUAUUGAUGGAUUGCUCUGGUCAUUGUUGUAUGUAUAUGGUAUUGGAGGAGACCCUUGUUACAAGGGAGAUGCUGCCAAAAUUUACGUAAACGAGCUACUAGCUUAAGUUAUAGACUUAGCCUUUGCUAAGCACUGAUUUUGAAUCUCCUUAUAAUAUGAUAGAUUGAGUUGACUUGUUUGAAGAGUUGCUUGGAAGUGAUUAAGGACUCAAUGGGUUUAAGGUAUGUUAAUGCACUUUCUUCUUUCUUUUGACAUGAUCUAAAGUGAAAUGAAUACUCUACUUCAUAACGGAUCUACUCCUAGCAACUAAGGUUGUCCAUGCUGUUCUUUCCUUAUAAAAUUAUUCUAAACAAGUGUGUAUGAUCCAUAAAUUCUACUAAGGUUCAUAUUGAUGGUAGGGAUGUCCAUAAUGUUCUUAAGUCACUCCAAAAGGUUUAGAAUGUGAUUCCAUGAGUUGAGCAUGCACUAUGUAUAUGUAUCUAUUUUACUCUACCGAGUCGCGCUAUAGUCGGCCGGGUACGGCAGAUAUUGUGUAACCACUGAUCAGUUGGGUUUACCGAGCUCCACGUGGCCGGGUACGAUUCUACUGAACCUUAUGAUGGUCGGGUAUGCUUUUACCGAGUCCUCUUUGAGGCCGGGUACGAUAUGAUGAUGAUGAUGCCCACAGAGGCGAAUGUUUUUAAAAAGUUUAUGUAUAUAUAUGUAUUAUGCAUUUCAUAUCAUAGCCCCUAGAGGCACUCAGAUGUUACAGGUUGUAUCUCUUCUAUCUCUCUCUUUACAUUACUAUUCUUGUUUAUGCUUUCCUGCCUAACAUACUCGGUACUUUAUUCGUACUGACGUCCCUUUUGCCUGGAGACGCUGCGUUUCAUUCCUGCAGGUCCCGAUUGAUAGGUUGACAGUCCUCCUAGUAGGGUAUCAGUCAGCGAAGGUGUUGGUGCACUCCACUUGCUCCAGAGUUGCCUAUUUGGUCAGUAUGCUUUGGAUAUGUAUUGAUUGGUAUGGUGGGGCCCUGUCCCGACCUUUAUGAUUUUAUGUACUCUUAGAGGCUUGUAGACAGAUGUCAGGUGUAUGGAUAAUCAUAUGGCCUUGUCGGCCUAUGUUUCGAGUUUACUAAUGGUCAUGUCGGCCUUAUAGGCCCGUAUGUCACAUAUAUUAUUUUGUAUAUCAUGUUGGGUCUUCAUAUGUUGAGUGUUCCCUUAUGUUUUAUUCUUGUUAUCUCAUGACGGGUUUUCUGGCUC